UACGUAGGGACCAAGCGUUGUUCGGAUUUACUGGGCAUAAAGGGCGCGUAGGCGGCGCGGUAAGUCACUUGUGAAAUCUCUGAGCUUAACUCAGAACGGCCAAGUGAUACUGCAGUGCUAGAGUGUGGAAGGGGCAAUCGGAAUUCUUGGUGUAGCGGUGAAAUGCGUAGAUAUCAAGAGGAACACCUGAGGUGAAGACGGGUUGCUGGGCCAACACUGACGCUGAGGCGCGAAAGCCAGGGGAGCAAACGGG
rnacentral:rRNA from 1 species